rnacentral:rRNA from 1 species
GCACAACGCGAAGAACCUUACCAAGGCUUGACAUAUACGAGAACGGGCCAGAAAUGGUCAACUCUUUGGACACUCGUAAACAGGUGGUGCAUGGUUGUCGUCAGCUCGUGUCGUGAGAUGUUGGGUUAAGUCCCGCAACGAGCGCAACCCUCGUUCUAUGUUGCCAGCACGUAAUGGUGGGAACUCAUGGGAUACUGCCGGGGUCAACUCGGAGGAAGGUGGGGAUGACGUCAAAUCAUCAUGCCCCUUAUGUCUUGGGCUUCACGCAUGCUACAAUGGCCGGUACAAAGGGCUGCAAUACCGCGAGGUGGAGCGAAUCCCAAAAAGCCGGUCCCAGUUCGGAUUGAGGUCUGCAACUCGACCUCAUGAAGUCGGAGUCGCUAGUAAUCGCAGAUCAGCAACGCUGCGGUGAAUACGUUCCCGGGUCUUGUACACACCG